GGGGGCCGACAAAAUGAGCUUUUUUUUCUGCUGAUGUUAUAUAAAAUACUAAUUUAAAUAAGCUGAAGGGUGCCUAUGCUAGUUUUGCAGGUCACACCUUAUACCUAGCGCCUGGACUUCAUAUGAGUGCUCCAUGUUCGGUGUAACUGCUCAAAUGGAUACGCAUGCGCUACCCUACAUAUAAACCACAAACCAGUUGAAUCAAAGAGGGCGAGCACCAAUGUAUCCACUAUGUGGAGCUGCUACACCAAGCAUGGAGCACCCAAGUAUGGAUAAGUACCUUUAGGAAUGUUCCUUUGUUUUCUGGUGUAGCACUAUAGUCUGUUUUUAAACCAAGAGGAGUAAUUCAAUACACCUGCUUCUGAGAGAGUGACUACCUAAACUCAAUUUGCACAGUAUCAUCCAACCAAGUUUGACAACUAUUUAGCUACUUAGGAACCAAUCUUUUCUGCAAGACUCCUUAAUACUGGUCAUGUUGCAUAGUUCCUUUUACCACAUAAACAUAUCCCAUUCCUUUGCCAUUUAUUUCAAACCUGAGCUGGGGUGUUUAAUUGUUUUAUUAUACAUCCCUUUUUAUUUUUCCCCCUGGACAUCUUCCAACAAAAUUGGGUCUUAUCAUCCAUAAUUUGAAAUGUUUCUUCAUCACGAAAGCAAACUUGGAGAUGUGAAUAAUAAUUAUGAAGUAUGCAAACAAAUUGAUUUGUAGUAGAAUAGAGCAGGAACAGAAGAUCAACAGAAAGAUCUUUACAUUUUGUAAAAAAUGAUAGUGUAGAAAAAGGUCGUAGUCAUUUAAAAAAACAAUAAGGGAUGGUACGGGACUGAGGGGGUGCCUUUCCCAGCAAGUUUAAAUAUGGCAUAAUGUCUCCCCCUUCACUUAUUAUUUGAUGUAUUUUUGCGCUAAAAAUCAGUGGCUCAAAAGUUAUUUAAGGUGGAUAGUUUUAUCUGAAGAGCACUGUAUAAUAUUUGCUGUGUGCAAGUACUUGGAGGGAAUACGAGAAACAAUCGUGCGCGAUUAGCAGAGAAUUCUUGCAACUUUCUUAAAUAAUUCAUAUUGUCAAUUGAAAUUGUCAAAUUGACGUAUAUUUCAUAUCUACUGUCAUUGAAGAAGAAAAAUUAUAUGUUGCUUCACAAUAUUGGUAUGAUAUGCAAUUAUUAUAUGAAAUUAAAUUAAUUAAUUGUAUUUUGCUUGUAGUAAUGCAUUUUAAUAAUUAAUUUUAUUUACUACCUACAAUUGUUUACUGUACAUUCCAUGUCAAAUCACUCAGGCAAAAAACUUUGGAUCUCCGAUUUGUCUGAAAAUUGGUAUAUAGCUUCUACGGGACAUAAAAAUAAGAUAUUUAAGGUCAAAAAUCUUCUUCCUUUCUCAAAAUGUUAUUUUAUGCGAUUUUACAGUGAUUUGGAGUUUAUUUAAACAAAUUUGCAUUUUCUGUCGCAAAGUGUCAAUGAAAAACAUAAUAUGUCAUUAACAUGUCAUUACAUGGCAUGUGAAAAAAUGUCAUUACAUGGCAUUAUAAUAAGUUAUUUUGAUUCAAAACAAGGUUUUGUUAAACUUUUGUAGUGUAGAAAACGUUAAAAUACAUUUUUCUCCAUUCCCAAAAUACGAGGCAUGUUUUUUAUGUAAGUACCGUUUUGCGAUUCCGCCGCCGCAGCGCUAUGGUCGGCAUUCCGCGCAUGAGCGCUGGUUACCUACAUCUCUUGUCUACGCACACUGACGCCAUUACAGUCUGAUUCUUCAUUGUAUACUUGUUUACUCCAGUGUUUAAGAUGCCUCCAACAAUCGUGAGUCCCGCUGAUUGUGAAGUACGGGCUGUUAUUUAUUUAUUUAUUUUACGGGCAAGCCCAAUUCUACAAAAAUACAUAGUGUACAGAAAAAAAAACAAUAACAUAAUAUAAUAUAAAAAACAGACAUACAGAAAUAUAAAUAUAAUAUUAGAAGUAAAUAUGUACUAUGAAAUAAUAUCAUAAAACCAAGUUAACAAAUUACAAAACCAAGUUAACAAAUUACAGACGCUUCACUCAAAUAUUGAUCCCAUCUAAAUUUCUUUUAAAACGACUGAUGGAGUUGUCGAACAGUUGUAAAUUGCAAAGGGAGUUUGCUAAAUUCAAGACUCUGGGUACGAAUGAAAAAAGUGAAUAAUUAAACCUGUGGAAUGGUACAUAAAAUGUUCGCACUUGUCUAGUGGUGCGAGGUGGUACAAACAGUGCGAUCUUAUUAAGUAGUUGAGAACAACUGCAUAUACCAUUUAAGAUCUUGAAUAAUAGCAAAAGGUCCCUUUGUUUUCUCCUGCUUGCAAGAGAAGGGACCUGCAGUUGAUGCUGCCAUACAGCGUAAUCUUGAUAGGUAUGAAGCUUAAAAGCAAUGUAACGGAAGAAACUAUUUUGGACUUGUUCAAGUUUCCUAAUGUAGACCAAGUAGUGUGGGGACCACACUGAAGAACAAUACUCAAGGUGAGACCUGACCAAAGAGAAGUAAAGAACUCUAAUACUGGAUAUGUUUGUAAAAUCACGAGUUGUUCUUUUUACAAAACCCAGCAUUUUCAUAGAUGUUUGAAUGACAUUGAUGAUGUGAGUAUUGAAACAAAGAGAGUUUUCCAGUGUAAUCCCCAAGUCCUUGAUUCUAUUAACAGUGUUGAGCAAUUGGCCAUCAAUGUAAUAGUUUGAUAAUAUUGGGUGGUGAGUACGGUUAAAGUUAAUUACAUGACAUUUGAUUGAAUUAAGGUUCAUACCGUUAAGUGAACACCAUGCAGAGAGG
rnacentral:lncRNA from 1 species